UUGUUAUUGCUGCAAAACAGGUAUUCUCUUGGCCAAACUCAAGCAGGAGUCAGAGGAUAAAGAAGCCCAUUGAAAAUGUCCAUACUGAUCAGCGCCAGGGCAGGCAACAAGAUGCAGAAUGGGGCCAGGGUACCUGGAUGAUACACAGCACAAGGUCUAAAAUUGAGGAAUCAAGAAAUAGCAAGACGGCCAGGCGCUUUCCUUCUGCAGACUGCCUUUCCUGACAAGAACAGACUCAGACAGUCUGUAGAGUGGUUCCGCCCCGAAGCUGAAAAAUAGUGUACAAAGCUGUCACGAAGUUUCCACUGCACAGCUC
rnacentral:lncRNA from 1 species